ensembl:lncRNA
UCUGUUCUCCUCUCUCUCAUUCUCUCCCUCUUUGUGGCUAAAUUUAGACCUCACUGUGUUGCAUACAUGGUUAUUGAUUUCUAAUGGAGAAAAAACAUCACUUGUUUUAUACCCAGAGACUCUGUACGAUGAAGAGAAUGGCAGUCAACUACAGCGCUCUCUCUCUCUCCCCUCUCUCUCUCUCUCUCUACUCUUUCUAGCUCUCUCUUAAUCUCUCUCACCUCUCACUCUCUCUCGUCAUAUUAUCAUGUGUAGGAGAAGACCAGCAGCUAUAAUUCCCAUGAUUUAGAUACCAGAUGGUCGAGCUAAUAACCAGGCACAUGAAGGGAGUGUGUGCUUUCAUGCAUGUGUGUGUCUCAACAUGGCUUUUCAUUGUGUUCCUAUGUGAUGGUAACUGUACUAUGCUGAUCUCUUUACCGUCGGUAUGCCAGUAAUGGUAUUAGUACAUUAUUACUGUAUGGAGAUGUUGUUAGAGGGGUAAUGAUGAUGAUGUCCUGACCAGAGGAAAUGAUCAUCUCUACUAGUUCCCCAUGGGAUUGUACACCACACACUUCAGAGUGGCUAUUUUGCAUUGGCACAUCACACACACACUCCUCAACAUUUAGCGCUGAUAUUCAUAUGUGCACGCACGCACACACACACACACACACACACACACACACACACACACACACACACACACGAUACCCCUAAAUGAGGAUGGACAAAGCAGAGCCCUGGUGAGGAUGGAGUGGUGGAAUAAUAAACGAGUGUCCUCUGAGAGAUGAGCGUGUCUCAGUGAGCUCCUGAUUGAUGUCUGGAUUAGAGGGAGGAAGAGAGGGAACACGGGAGGCAGAGGAAGAGAGAAGGGUGCGUGGCAAGCUUUGAUGUUUCCCGCCGGCUUCUCAAAAUGUCAGCUGGAAUCCAAAAUGGCUGAAGAGAAGCGUGUGUGUGUGUGUGUGUUUCAUAACAAUUACACACACACACACACUCUCUCUCUAGCCUCCAAGUCCCUCCUAUGCCGUGCAUUAUAUGUGUGGCUGUGAAUGAGCACUACAGAGAGAUAGCUGCUAAUUGCGGUGAAAUUUGAACAGAGAAACAGAGUUGUCUGAUGAAUAACUAGUGAGAGUGAUGCCAUCAUAUGUCCUGCUCUGCUCACUCACACACACACACACACACACACACACACACACACACACACACACACACACACACACACACCCAACUCUGCUCUGACAUUCUGUCACUCUCACUUCCCGGAGCUCCACACAUCUAAUUUUUUGCUUUACAUUGUGUGUAAGGCAAUGUUCAUACAGCAUGUUCUUAUACAGUAUGUUCCUCAUCAGGGGGGAUGACAUGUGUGUGAGAGGGGUUGCUUGCUGUGUCUGUGAUGCUCCCUUGGGGAAAGUUACAGAAAUCACCAUCUGGUAUCUAAUCAUGGGAAAGGGUAGGUUUCAAAAUGGUACCCUACUGUAAUACCCAUCUAGUGCACUACUUUUGACUAGAGCCCUAUGUAGGGAAUAGGGUGCCAUUUGGGAUGAGGCAUAAGUCAAUGCUGAUGAUGGUCUUCUCUCUUCUUUUGUGGGCAGUGAAGUCAGGGUUGGCUGUGGGUGUUUCACUGGGCGUUACGAUGAGAGGAGAAAUCUACUGUAAAGUGAACAAUUAAUAGAAGAUGAAAUAUCUCCAAAUUGGGUGUUUGCUGGUUUAAAAAGUAUCAUUUUGUGAUAUAGUUUAGAUCGGUAGUUUGCAGACACUAACUGAGUGAAUCGAUUCUGUAUUAUAUCUGCAUGUGGUAAGUGAUUGGUAGCUAGCUAUCUUUUUUUCAAGAAAAGCAACGAAAAAAACGAAGUCGGGGUAAAAAACAAACAGUAAAAUGCUUCUCUUCUCUUGUUCUCUUGAUUUCUGUUUUCUGUAUGUAUAUUUUUCUUUCCGACUACCCUAAAAAAUACUGUCACGCUGUGUUCUCUGAAUGUUUGUGUUUUAAUUUAUUUGUGGUUUGCCAAAAUGAAGAUUUUGAAGCAUGUCGCAGGUAUUGUCACAGAAAAAGAGAAAAAUAAAUCUGAACUAAGAAUGAUGAUGUGUAUCUGUGUCAGAAGGGUGUUCAGGUGUAUAUUUUGUGGGAGACUUUCAAGGAACCAGAUUAAGAAGGACUAGAUAAUGAUGUCAUAAAACCCCAACAUUCUCCAGGAAGUAAUCUGUCACAAGGAGCAGAAUUCUAUGGAGCUCAAUGGAACUGAAGGAUCAGUCAACUCUUGGCUCUCACAUGUAUUUCCUACUCUCCUCUGUGAUAUCACCAAUGUCAAUCCUUCUUUCUCUGGUUCCGGACUGCGUUACUGCUUGGGUAGAAGUUGGCCUUAGGCACAGAUCUAGGAUCAGCUUACCCUGCCUAAACCCUAACCAUUAGAGUGGAAUGUGCAAAUAUGUUCCUAGAUCAGUUUCUAUGAGCAACUUCACCCUACUCCCGACUGAAGUGUGUAGUCCAGACCGAGGUCAACGGUUCAAAAGGUGAAAGGUCGUUGCAAGACCAAACAGGAAUGUGCAAUAAAAGUUACGGCUUAU